UACAGAGGGAGCAAGCGUUGUUCGGAAUUACUGGGCGUAAAGGGCGCGUAGGCGGUUCGAUAAGUCCCGUGUGAAAUCUCUCGGCUCAACUGAGGAAUGGCACGGGAAACUGACGGCUUGAGUUCGGGAGAGGGAAGCGGAAUUCCGGGUGUAGCGGUGAAAUGCGUAGAUAUCCGGAGGAACACCGGUGGCGAAGGCGGCUCCUGGACCGACACUGACGCUGAGGCGCGAAGCUAGGGAGCAAAGCGGG
rnacentral:rRNA from 1 species